GGAAUCAGGAUUAGUAUAGGCUGAGAGACUAUUGUGACUAUAGUAUGUCUUGUUCCUUAAAUCUCGUAGCUGUUUACUUUUAGCUUUCUAACCGUGUUUGGCAUUUGUUGUGAUUUUGCUUUAAGUAGGAGCCUCAUCCUGUCUUCAUAGUUACAAAACAAGGAUAGAAAUUAGAUAAUUAGAUUUUAAAUGCAGUUUAUUUUUGAAAAGAACCUAGAUGUGUCAUUUCCCUUGCAGCUAAAGGUGCUGUCAGGCUCUGUAUACAGAAACAGGAAAAGGAGAGAUACUGACAAAAUAAUUCAAUGGUAUGUGUGAACUCACUUGCUGAUUCUGUGAUUUGGAUACAAAUCAACAUAUUGGUCAAGACCUCAGGAAGUGACGGCCAUUUUGUGUUCACUUCAAUGCAGCCGGUUAUUGCUGAAGGGUUGCUCUUUUCCUUUGUCUGUUAGGUCUUACUUUAUCCCCUUAGUCUUGGAAAUGUGAAUAUGAAAAGCUGAAAAUACGUGUUUUCCUUUGUAAAGGGCAGAUAUAAUACUGGGUCUAGUAAUUCUGUCAGCAUUUUAUUAUUAACAAAAUGGCCUUCAUAUUUCUGUGUAAGAUAAUAUGCUAGAUGUAAGCACGGAGCUCUUUUUCAUUUUUAUAUGUGUGUUUUAUUUAGGAAGCUUCUUAGUGAUUGGUUAAACUCUUUUUGGUACUAAUUUGACUACCAUUUAUGGGAGUGGGGGGGUAGAAAAUACUCCACAGUGAGUACAUUGAUUGUGAAUUAUGGUAUAUCUCAGCAAAUAGAACAAAAAUGUACUUUGUAUUUUGGGAAGAAUGUUUGUUCUUUAGAGUCAAUUAGAAGUAUCUUAUAACUUUUACCUCUCUUGUUAGUCGUUAAUGUGUAUUUGGUAACUUGUGUAAUCUGGUUUGGACUCUUUCUAGUGUAUUUAUUACUCAUCUGUAGAGAAAUUUCUGGGCUUCUAUUAAAAAGCUGUAAAGGAGUAUAACUUCCUGACUUUUGUAUAAGUGUUCUUAUUUUGCUUACUACAAAUAAAUAUAGGUAUAAAGUGAACAGAAACCUGAAAUAAGGCAUCAUUCAGAUUCUAACCAUAUUCUAGUAUUGUACAAGUAAGAUCAUUUUCAGUAAACUUCUUAAUGUGAAAUUUAAACUUCUUACAAGAAAGAAGUUAGAGCAUGCUUUCAAGGGUAUUGAAGUUUUACUUUGAGGCUUGUCUCAGUUCUAAAAUAGAAUAAACUUCUUGUGGUUAG
rnacentral:lncRNA from 7 species